AUCCAAUAAACUAAAACCAAACAAAUUAAUCCCCUUACAUCGUAAUUGGGACAUAUCCAAAAUCUCCUUCUUAGAUUUGUAGUAGUCCAUGAUCUCUUUAUUAUGGUUGCAAGAUGGCAACGGCAAGUCUUUGAGCCUCCACUAUUAAUGUUAAAUCCUUCCCCUUCCCAAGCUCCCGAAGUUAAAGAACUCAUUUCCUUACGAGAGAGACUGAGAGAC
rnacentral:lncRNA from 1 species